rnacentral:lncRNA from 1 species
GGCUUCCCACCAAGACCACACAGUAACCCAGUAGACAUACUCUAUAACCAAAGAGGGUCUAAGAUUGAUGCUAAAGAUAACCUCAUGAUCAAGAUUUAUUUUUGAGUCCUGAGAAGAGGAUUAGUUAAAUUCAACUGCCCUGAGGUGUCAGAUCAAUUUCUAUGUACCAAAUACAUGAUAUUAGCUUCUAAUUUCUAUUGAAUUCAGUAAAAACUCAUGUCUGAUCCAUUUUGCUAUUUUUGCUGCAACAGUCAGUAUGUAGACUUUUGGGAAAAAAUG